UACUUAAAAGUUCAAAAACUACCUUAGUAUCUUCAAUACUAUGCUCUUAAAUAAGCUAUUCAAAU
rnacentral:tRNA from 1 species